rnacentral:rRNA from 1 species
AUUGCCUACGGGAGGCAGCAGUGAGGAAUAUUGGUCAAUGGGCGGGAGCCUGAACCAGCCAAGUCGCGUGAGGGAAGACGGUCCUAUGGAUUGUAAACUAUUGUCGUGAGGGAAGAAGAUGACAGUACCUCAGGAGGAAGCUCCGGCUAACUAUGUGCCAGCAGCCGCGGUAAUACAUAGGGAGCAAGCGUUAUCCGGAAUUAUUGGGUGUAAAGGGUGCGUAGACGGGAAAUUAAGUUAGUUGUGAAAUCCCUUGGCUUAACUGAGGAACUGCAACUAAAACUGAUUUUCUUGAGUACUGGAGA